GUUAUCUAGGGUGGGACUUGGAAAAGCCAGCUGGACUCUUAUUGUAGUGAGGACCAAAUUGAUUGAAACCCGGAAAUGAGUUUAGAAGGAAACUGAAGGAAAAAGGAAAACCGGCGGCACCUUCGUUGCCCUCAAACAAGGUCAUUUCCUGCAUGGGAUUGAUAGUUUCCUGUUUACUCAAAGAAGUCUGCGUAUACCCUGCUUUCUGGAAUAUACAUGAUAAAUUCUUAUGAGCCUUUGGUCCCAGACUUCUAGUUACUUGUUACCUAAAAGAAUGAAUGAGACGGAGGAGAGGGAAAGCACGGGGUUUAACCCUGCCUUUAGGAAAGGUUAGGGAAACUGAGGCCCUCUGAUGGAAAGCUAAGGAUGACGACCCUGGAUCACAGGAUCCAAGCAGAACCCCAAGGAACAGCUACAAGGCCUCAGAAAACCAGAGAUGAAAGUACCAGAUCAUACUGCAUUUUGCAUUUAUGGAAAGAAGAGGAGAAGGCAGGGCAGAGGUAUAGGAGGGGCUGGUAGAGGCAUAGAAGGGACAAUGUACUUACUAUUGCCCAGUCAGGUAUCCUGUCAGGGUUGAUUGCAAUAAACAGAAACCACUUUGUUUUAAACAGAAAACACCUUAAUACAGAGACAUGGAUGCUUUAAAAAAAAAAAUCAUGGGAAGGACUGGAGGAGCAUGGUCAUUGCUGAUCUCAGAAAUGGCUCCAAGAAUGAGACUACUAAAACUCUCCCACCAGGGAAGUUUCAUAAAGGGGAGGAAUGAAGACUAUUGCUGAAACUGUUGAGUUCAAGAACACAGUGCCCUAGUUGUGAUCCAGGAAUCCGGAAGCUACUGUUGCUGUCACCACCUCAACAUCCUUCAGUGGCCAUGUGAAGGGAUGCUGGAAGACUGCUGCAGAAAAACUCAACAUCCCAUGACCAUGCUGGCCAGCCACAACCAAAGCAGCCAGGAGGUGGCCCCUGCCUCACUUCUAUUUUUCAAGUUUCUUGAGUGUGCAAAUUAUUGAUAGAUCAAAAUUUAUAAAUAAUCCUAGCUGCAAGAAAAGUCUGGGAAAUAUAAUUUUUGGGUUUCCAGCCUCUGCAGUACAGGAAGGCACAUAAAAAGGAUAUAGAAUGUGGGUCAGCCAUAUCCAUCACAAGUGUAUACGUACUACAUUUGAAAAUUUUUCUUGGUAAUAAGUAGAAUGAAUGGACUCUCAGCCAGAAGCAGCACAAGAAUGAAGCAAAAGUCUAUUUCAGACUUUUUCAUUUUAUAAACCAAUAGGGA